rnacentral:rRNA from 1 species
CGAAAGCCUGACGGAGCAAGACCGCGUGAGGGAGGAAGGCUUUUGGGUUGUAAACCUCUUUUCUCAGGGAAGAAACAAUGACGGUACCUGAGGAAUCAGCAUCGGCUAACUCCGUGCCAGCAGCCGCGGUAAUACGGAGGAUGCAAGCGUUAUCCGGAAUUAUUGGGCGUAAAGCGUCCGUAGGCGGUUUUUCAAGUCUGCCGUUAAAGACUACAGCUUAACUGUGGGCCGGCGGUGGAAACUGAGGAACUUGAGUAUGGUAGGGGUAGAGGGAAUUCCCAGUGUAGCGGUGAAAUGCGUAGAUAUUGGGAAGAACACCAGUGGCGAAGGCGCUCUGCUGGGCCAUAACUGACGCUGAGGGACGAAAGCUAGGGGAGCG